ACGGAAGGCAGCAGUGGGGAAUAUUGCACAAUGGGCGCAAGCCUGAUGCAGCGAUGCCGCGUGAGGGAAGAAGGUUUUCGGAUUGUAAACCUCUGUCAACAGGGACGAAAAUGACGGUACCUGUGAAGGAAGCUCCGGCUAACUACGUGCCAGCAGCCGCGGUAAUACGUAGGUGGCAAGCGUUGACCGGAUUUACUGGGUGUAAAGGGCGUGUAGGCGGAGAUGCAAGUCAGAAGUGAAAUCUAGGGGCUUAACCCCUAAACUGCUUUUGAAACUGUAUCCCUUGAGUAUCGGAGAGGCAGGCGGAAUUCCUAGUGUAGCGGUGAAAUGCGUAGAUAUUAGGAGGAACACCAGUGGCGAAGGCGGCCUGCUGGACGACAACUGACGCUGAGGCGCGAAAGCGUGGGGAGCAAACAGGAUUAGAUACCCUGGUA
rnacentral:rRNA from 1 species